UCGUUAGCUCAGUUGGUAGAGCAGUUGACUUUUAAUCAAUUGGUCGCAGGUUCGAAUCCC
rnacentral:tRNA from 1 species